GACGAACGCUGGCGGCGUGCUUAACACAUGCAAGUCGAGCGGAAAGGCCACUUCGUUGGUACUCGAGCGGCGAACGGGUGAGUAACACGUGAGUAAUCUGCCCCUCACUUUGGGAUAGCCACCGGAAACGGUGAUUAAUACCGGAUAUGACCAUAUGUCGCAUGGCGUGUGGUGGAAAGUUUUUCGGUGAGGGAUGUGCUCGCGGCCUAUCAGCUUGAUGGUGAGGUAAUGGCUCACCAUGGCUUCGACGGGUAGCCGGCCUGGGAGGGUGACCGGUCACACUGGGACUGAGACACGGCCCAGACUCCUACGGGAGGCAGCAGUGGGGAAUAUUGGACAAUGGGCGGAAGCCUGAUCCAGCAACGCCGCGUGAGGGAUGACGGCCUUCGGGUUGUAAACCUCUUUCAGUACCGACGAAGCGCAAGUGACGGUAGGUACAGAAGAAGCACCGGCCAACUACGG
rnacentral:rRNA from 1 species